GCCUCAGCCCCGCCCCGCUUGGCGCCGGCCGACCAAGAAGAGCUUCGUCCCGCCGAGCCUGGCCGCGAGCGGGCGCCGCUGCGCGUGCCGCCGGGUCGGAGGCCGCGACCUCUGUGGCGGCGGGUGGGCGAGCUCGGAUAUGGGCCUGUUCCUGUGGCAGCGCGCUGCACCCGCGCCUUGUCCCGCUCUGCUCUUAGAGCUUCUCGGCCCCCAAAAGUUUCUAGAGUUAAGAGAAUCCGUAUCUGGGAAAGUUCUUGACGUUCAGAUGCCCGCUUGGGGCCUUGCAAGUGCUGCUGGCAAUCCUGCCCUACUGUAUGUCCCUGUCCCCCUAUCGUGCCCAUGUUGAGUAUGCUGCAAAUGCGGAUGUGGAAACAGCUACGAAAUGCUGGUCCCCAAAGUGGCUAGGGGAAGUGCUACAGGUAGUAGUAGCAGAGGGACAGACUGACGCUUGCUGACAGUAUGAAAUCAGAGGAAAGUGUUUGCAGGCACCUUCUGCAUAAAUGGUGAAGGCAUUUCUGCACUCUUCUUGAUGAUAAAGUAGUGGUUCAAACAUGGAGGUAUUCACAAAGCAUUAAAGGCAUGUUAUAUAAGCUGUUAUAAUGUUCAGGAGUUUUGAUUAUUAACUAAAUGAACAUUUUCUGCUACCCUUUCUAGAACUAAUAAAUUUAGGACUUCAUUCUGGGAAACUUAAGUUGGGUGUACAGUACAGGAGAAAUAUAAACCUGCUGGAGGAGGAGGGCCGCACACAUGAUCCAGGGGGUGGAACACCUCUCCUAUGAGGGCAGGCUGAGGGAACUGGGGCUGUUCAACCUGGAGAACUGGAGACUCCAGGGAGACCUCAUAGCAGCCUUCUAAAGGGGGACUAUAAGAAGGAAGGAAACAGACUUGUUAGCAAGGUCUGUUGUGAUAAGACAAGGGGAAAUGGGUUCAAACUAAAACAGGAGAUUUAGACUGGCUAUAAGGAAAAGGUGUUUUACAGUUAGAACAGUGAAACGCUGGUACAGGUUGCCCAGACGGGUGGAUGCCCCGUCCCUGGAGACAUUCAAAGUCAGGCUGGACAGAGCACUGAACAACCUGCUGUAGCUGUAGGUGUACCUGUCCAUUGCAGGGGAGUUGGACCAGGUGACCUUUAGGGUCCUUUCCAGCUCAGAUUAUUCUGUGGUGUACAUUAGGCAGCUGCUGCAGCAUAGCAUACUGAGAAGGCUGACUCUCUGUGGCACCUCUGCCUAAUGGAAGUGUAAACCUACACAAAACAAAACAUAUGUGUGUGCAUGUCAUUCUGCUGUAGGACAUCACUGGUGAACAUACUGCAUAGUACGGAGGUGGCUGUGCCAGCAAUAUCAGCUGCAGAGGGGGGUUCAGAGGAUGGCUUAUGGGACGCCUUGCACAGGCAGCUCAGGAAUGCAUCUGACCUCUCACUGUGGUCAGCAGCAUUUAUGUGUGUAGUUUUAGUGCUAUUAGUAAUAUUUUGUUAAAAAUUUCUGCCUACUGAAUCAUACUGACAAAAAAGUUUAACAGUAAUCCAGCAGCAUGGCUGUGCACUUUUCUUCCAGAAUAAGGAAUUGUAAGGAGACCACUACAGUGAUGUAGUUAUGCCAACAAAUCUCUCCAGGUAGAGAAGAAUUUGGGCUUGUUUAGCCCAUCUAGCACUGACCACCUCAAAUGUAACUCUUGGCAGAUGAACAACAAACAAAAUGCUGGCAAUACUUUUAAAAGAAACCAAUUCAUAGAGACUGUGUUUGUUUCAAAAUAUAUUCAUUUGUGGAAAUUAUAUUGGUUCAUAAUAAAACUAAGAUUCAGGUCGGUCCUGGUCUCUCAUCCUGUAUUAAAAAUAUGCGCCAUGGGCUGAAGAUAAAUCGUUCCUUCGCUUCCAUGUUUCUUUUCUCCUUGGGACUGCAACUGUCUAUACCACAAGCAGAUGUCUAGAGGAGAUCGCUAGGUAGGAAACUCUCUCUGUAGCCUGAAAUUAUAUUUUCAGGGAAGAGAAAAUACAAAACAUUAAGCCUUGUGGUUCAAUUAGGCCUUCAGCAUCCAGGAUUUCAAAACUAUUUAGGCUUUAGCCAUCCCUCAGGGCUGCUGCUUGUAUCUGCCAGGGAUCAGCAGCAAGGCAAUGCCCCCACUAUCUGGUCCCACGCUUUGGAGGGAAAAGAGAGAAGACGAAAUGAAGCUAAAGCUCAGGUCUCACUUUAGAUGAGGAUGGAAGAUGAACUCUUCUGUGAUACUGUGAAGGAUGGUGGCUCUGCUUUCUUAUUCAGGAUCUCAGUUAUGACUGGCUAAAAAUGCUGCUGUCCUUCCAAGCAAAAGCUAAGACCCAAAUAAAGCUAAAGACUGUCCCAAAUACUUCAUUUUUAGAUCAUACCAAGGCAAGAUUUGAAGGCCUUUGUGUUCUAGUAGUCGUGAAGUUCACCCAUUCAUAUAAGCAAUUUAAGAGUAAAGUCAUCUGGGCUGGGAUAUUUACUGCACGCUUCAGCUCAGGAGAAAGUCCAGUGCCAACUGCAAAACUUCUUGUGCAUAGGACUCACGGGAGAGGACAGAGCUGGGAAGCUGAGUCACUGAGGUAAGGUGUAUUUUUGUACCUGGGGCUCUGCUGGCACCUGAGCUAACUGCUCUCCUGUACUCAUUACUGCUCUGUUGGAGGUUGCUAUGAGUUAGCUGAGCUGUUCAUCAUCUGGCAAAGAACUGCUGCUUGAAGUAAUUAACUGGCCUUGUCUGAAAUGAAGUAGGAAGCCAGGCCUGUAGAUCUGAGAAGGCAUGAGGGGUAGCAGUACCCCCUGUUGGGGUAUGUAAGUUGGUAGCAGUAAUCCCUUCAACAGUGCAAGCACAACCAGAAGAUACCCAACCACACCUUGAGUGAUAAAGAGUCUGCAGAAUACUUCUUUAUAUCUGUGUGCAUCGAUUAGGACUAUACACUCCCAUAUAGCCAACUUCAGGUUUGCCUUAUCAAUGCCAUGAAACUACAUUACAAGAAGAGCUACAGAGGCCUCAGUUUAGACACUACAGGACUGGGAGGGAUAUAGCACAGCUUUCAGCUUCAGCAUUCAAGACUUAAAUGCAGACACAGGCUUCCAAGUCUUUUCAGUCUUCCUGUGGCACUGCAGUCAAGCAUGUCAUCAUGCCUCGGUUCCUUAGUCUGUAAAAGGGGAGCAGUUUUUAAGCACCACAUAAGGACGUGGUGAAGGUAAAUUAAUUACUGCAGGUAAAGAGGGUUGCAUUCUCUGAAGGCAGGUGUUAAACAAAAGUAAAGAUUUAUUACUCAAAGAAGAUGAUAGGUCCAUUUGAACUUAGUUCAGGAGACUGCAGUAUUUAUGGAUUAGUAGCUUUGGCAGGGGGAGAGAUUGGGCUGGUGACCUCAGAGAAGUAAAGUAUGGGAAGAUGUGUGUGAAGGCAUUCAUGCUGGAGCUAACAUUAUUGUAAAUCUUGAUCCUUUAAUAAAGCUGUGACCUUGGAGUUGACAACUGUUAUGCCAUGGAGCAAUAUAUAGCACGGCACCAACAUGGUAAAUCUUAGGUAGUUUUUGGCAUUGACAUCGACAACAUGUAAAAAGAAACCAGGCAGUUGAACAUCAUGAAACACAUUUAUUUGACGGAAAGCAUUUUAAAUCAAACAUUUUAGAUGAAAUCAAUGGCCCUGCCAACUUUUUAUUCCUCAUGAUGAAAAGUGUUUGUGAAAUGAAAUCUCAAAGGUGAAAACUUGUAGAAUUGCUCAUCAAAUUUUUCUAUGGGCAACUGUCGCUGAAAAAGUAUAUUUUAGAUCAUUUUUGCACAGCUGUUGUACAACUUCCUAUAACUACUUUUUGUACAACAGCUGCUUUGUACAACUAUUAUUUUGAUGGCUUUCCUGACUGCUGCUGAUGCAAGAAGAGUGCAUCUCCUCUUCGGUGUGCAAUGGGCAGCUACCUGGAGUUCUGCUGGAGCCAUUGGAGACACAUAGGCAUAAGAGGAAAGAGAAAACUGUAUAGCUACACAGUGAUCAGGAGGUGCCAUGUGGGAGGGGAUGGACAUUCUUUGCUUUUGCCAGGUGUAUCUGUACUACCUACAGAGAAUACUUGCAGGCACUGACAGAACUAAAAAGAACUCUCCAUCAGUGCUAACUUAAUUCCUAUAUACAAAAAGUUCUCAGUGUUUAUUUCUUUAUUUAUUUUUAGGUGUGCAGGAAACCAGAAGUCCAAUAAUUUGGAUCAGUUUAUUUGGUUGCUUUGCUUCUAGGACAAAAAUUUGUUUAAUUACUCAAAUGUUCCCACAAAUAAAUAGAAAAAAAUAGCAAGUGAAUAUUAUUUCACUUUUUGCUUUUUUUUUUUUUUUUUAAGAUGUAUUUCACUUACAAACCUCACUAACUCUGAGCCCCAUCUUGCAUACACUGUAAAUGGAAACUCAUGCUUUCUUACGGGGUCAAUAAUACUGCUCUUGCCAGCAGGUAGCAUGCCUGAUACUGCUUUUCCUUUUUUUCUUUUGUUCCAAUUUGUUAGUGCUUUGUCACCUGCCUUUGGCACUACAUUUUCAUUAUGGAUAUUCAAAAGGCCAGCAUGCUCCUGGAAUGGAGCUGCAAUCUAAUGGGAGAGGAUGCUAUAAAAACCAUUUAUUUAUUUGUAUACUGGUUUAUCAGAGUUCAUGACCUUUGUUUUUUGUAAAGAAACUGACAAUAUUUGCUUUUAUCCUUACAGAAAAAAAUAUGGGAGAUUUAAAUUAAAUUUCAAUUUAAUUUAAAAGUUGCUUUAAAACUAGAACAAUGCUUAAGGAAAAAAAAAGUCUAAUCAGGUUGUCAACACCCCAUUUUAUUGUCCAUAUUUGCCUACAGACCACAUACUUCUGCUGUUAUUCAGUACUCCUUAUGUCCUGCUUACAGGAUUCACGUGCACAUACUUUGAGAAUUACCUGUCUGGAACUUUUACAAUAAUAACUUCUGCAAUGAUGUUUAUGCCUCCAAAAGAAAAGAAAAGGGUAUUUUAUUGAAUAUUAAGAUACUAAUUAAUGUGUUAAUAGAUUUUACUUUGAUUACUCGAGCUACUGGGCAACAAAAUACUGUUUAACAAAGUUUACUGUUUAACUUUCUACUCCUUAGGAGUAAACACUGCAGCACAGAACAAGAUAAAUCAUUAUGCAACAUAAAGUAAAUGAGAAUGUCAAAUGCAGAAGCAUUAAUUAACUGAUUAUGCAAAAAACAAGCAACGUUAAUGCUAUUUAUUAAAGAGUCCAAUUUGUUGAUGGAUGGUAUAUUACUGUGUAUAUAAAUAAAUAUUAAUGAGUCAAUAAAGUGCUAUUGUAUAUAGUUCUGUU